rnacentral:lncRNA from 1 species
GAUUGCUAUAUGGGAGAACAUUAUAUAUUAUCUCCCUAAAAUACUUUUGGAUUACUCUUUCCCUGGUUUGGGGUUAUUUCCUCAUAUGCAUGCACCAAUCAGUAGUCUGAUGAAUACUUGAGAGAGACCCUUUACAGAUCUUGCCAGUAUAUCUUUGUAGGUACUUGAAGAGAAUGUGAGAAUGUCUCGCCUUAGUUGAUGAAAAGCUUUAUUCUUGACUGGGACUUGGCAGUCCUGUUUACCACAUUUCCUGUGUUUGGGCCAUAACUGCCAACUUUCAGGGUAGGAUGAAGAUGGGUUGGCAGUUUCUGCAAAAUUGUUGAAUGACUAAUUAGAAAUGCCAAUUGCCUUUUCUCUCUGAAGAACACCAUUGUUUAGGGUAGUGAUCUUUUUUUCCCCCUCAUAUUUCAUUUGAUUAUCUUUCAAUUAAUUUUCCUAGACCAAAUAUAUUUUACUUAUGUAUUAAGAAUAUUUUUUUAAAAAAAAUAAUCAGAACAAAAUAACACCCACCAAACAUUACCAUCUGCAUCACUCAGUCCAUGUUCUGGCUGUCUGCCUAUGGGCUGUGGGAUGGCAUGGCCAGGACUUGCAAAGGCCUAGACCUGAAUGGGCAGGAAGGCCCUGGGAAUGAGCCCACCACCUUCCUCUGCAGCCUGACCAUGUGCCUCUUCUCUUAAGCUGCCAUGUACCAUGUGUCUGUCUUCCUCUCCAGAUCAGCAGGAAGAGCCAAUCCCAGUCCCUUCAGGACGAGACGUUCUGGUGUUCAGUCUUGUUUCUUUUGCCUCAACUCCUAUCCAGAUUUUUCUCUCAGAAUCCCACAGACUGAGUCUCCAGUGUUUGUUUGUUUUUCCUUUUGUCUUGUUAUUUGUACUCCCUGUACCUACUUUAUUCUGUUUUACCCAUAUUUGUGCCACUUAAAUCAGCCCUGUAGAACUUUGAGCUCAUCUUGUUGUUUUUCUUUCAGUUGUGACUGCCAGUCACCUCUUCCACUCAUCUCUACUGCUCCCCACCCACCCCCAUCUUUUUUU